rnacentral:lncRNA from 1 species
CACGAGACAGGCAUCUGACUUUCUAGUGUCUAGGUCAAGGUCAUAGAAGCACGUGUUCGACCAUUAUGGCUGCCAAAAGGGAAGCCGGUUCCUUCAACACAAAAUGAAGGCUCCUGGCAGUGAGGGACACCACAGGGUGGCAGAUGGUCUUGCAGAGUCUGGACAGUGAGUGAAACAGCCUGCUCUUCCAGGACUUGGCCAGCAUCCCAGCUUUCUUGGAUCCCCAAAGACAUCGACAACCGACAACCCCAGACAACAGAAAGCGAUAUGCAAAUACCAUUGUAGUAGAGUCCCUGCAGAAUUCUAUAGCAACAGGCUGUCCAGGAUUGUAGCCAAGGAGCUACUGGCUGCACUGUGGUACUGAGGGAGCUGACAGGCUGCAGCAUGGAGCCAAGGAGCCUGGAAGGCUGUACCAUGUGUCCAAGGUGCUGCAACUGUCUGCAUGAUGGAGCCAAAAAGCUACAGCAGGCUGCACUGCCUAGGUUUGG